AUACGUAGGGUGCAAGCGUUAAUCGGAAUUACUGGGCGUAAAGCGUGCGCAGGCGGUUUUGUAAGACAGAGGUGAAAUCCCCGGGCCCAACCUGGGAACUGCCUUUGUGGCUGCAAGGACUGAGGACGGCCGAGGGGGGUGGAAUUCCGCCUGGAACAGGGGAAUGCGUAGAUAUGCGGAGGAACACCGCUGGCGAAGGCAAUCCCCUGGGCCUGUACUGACGCUCAUGCACGAAAGCGUGGGGAGCAAACAGGACUAGAUACCCUGGUAGUCCACGCCCUAAACGAUGUCAACUGGUUGUUGGGUCUUCAUUGACUCAGUAACGAAGCUAACGCGUGAAGUUGACCGCCUGGGGAGUACGGCCGCAAGGUUGAAACUCAAAUGAAUUGACGGGG
rnacentral:rRNA from 1 species